CUAUUUUUUUUUUUAUUUUUGUGAUUUCUAUUCCUAAUAGAAACUUUCCUAAAUAAUUUCCAAGGAAGUUUGGAAAAUUCUGCAGACCUCUCUCUCUAUGGUUUUCCCCUUGAAAAUCUGUUUAUCCUGCCAAAAUGUUUUUCUUUUAUGUGAUUAAUUUGCAUGUAAACCCCAAGCAUCUAAACUUGUGGCCCCAGCAUCUGUGCUAAUGGCACCUAACAAACAGAACUUCUCUCCAGCAGGGUCAGGGGUGAAGCUAGAGCUGGAGCCAGAAGCUGAGCGGCACCAUAUGCUGGGCUUUCACCAGAUUAUCAACUCACAAUCCCUUCUGGGGCACCGUCUGAUGAAUAUGAAAUGCUUGGAUUUUUUCCUAAGCUAACGAAGGAUUUCAUGUGAGGAGAGGUCAGUGAAUACACGAGGCAGGAUCCCUCUGAGAGCACAUAGUUAGAGGAACUAGGAACUUGCCUUGUAGGAUUUGUCUGAUGAGGGGGAGGUCCUCUCACCGCUCUCGGACUCCAUCCUGGCUGAGAAGACGGUGAUCGUCCUGGAUGACUGAGUCACCAUCGCGGAGCUGGGAGUGCAGCUCGUAGCUGGCAUGUCUCUCUCCCUGCAGCCUCACCCAGCAGACAAAAGGGCCAUCGUCUCCACAGCCGCUGCCCUGGAUGUUCUUCAGUCCCCACAACAGGUGAGCGUCCCAGGGGCCCAGCGUCCCUGGUCAGUGGAGACAACUUCUUUCUCAGUUAGCACAUCCUGUGAAGGAGAGCAGGAGUCCUCAUGCCUAGAACUGGGGAUUCUUGAAGCUUCUUGCUUCUUAUCCAGGUGGCCCUGUCUCUGAGGAAAGUAUUCAGUGGCUUAGACACAUUUCCUCUUAUGUGCUUUUCCACACCCACCAUGUCCCCAUACGCCAUUUGCUUUACCCUGGGCUUAUCUGUGCCAGGCACAGCCUGCUGCUAGACCGUGACCAAAGGAUCACGUUUUCACUUUUCUAGAAUAAAUUAUAUUUGAUAUCUGAAAAUUCGAUUUCAGCAAUGUAAA